GUAGAGUUUUAGUAGGGGAAGUCCCUGGGAAAGCCCCUUGAAAUUACAGGAAGAGGAUGUUGCAGUUUGCUUUUUUUGUAAGGGGCACAUUGUUGUGUGUUUGAACAAACCUUCAAUGGCAAGACAAGACUCAGCCUCAGAACCAAUGUCUAUAAAGCUUGGGAAAAGAGACAGGCUGCUAAUGGACGUACCUUCUAUGUAGACCACAUUUCCAGAAGCACACAAUGGGAUCGACCAAUCAGUUACAGUGAACAGGACACAUGGCAAAGUUCAACCAUAUGAGACAAUAGUGAUAGCGACCGCAGCUCAGUUGAGUCAAGAGUGCUCGGAUGAAGCUCUACUCCAGUUGUCUACCGAGAUUGCUGGCUAUGACAGAUACAAGCACAGGCUGGGCCUCAGUGAUGCUGAGAUUGGUGCUAUCGAUCUGACCAUUGUUAAUAUCCCAGGGAGAUUUCACGCCGCUCUAAAGAAGUGGAAGAGUAAAAAUAUUUUCGAAAUCAAUCCAUCGAAUUCAACGGCUACUUACGGUCGAUUAGUGGAAAUUGCUGCAAAGAUUGAGGACGGAGAGGCAGUUCGCAGCAUUCACAAGACCUGUGUGGAGCAUACCAGACUGGAGGUCAUGGAUCAGUCAAGACCAUCAUACACUACCAACACUUAGACACUUAGGACAAUGGCCUGGAUAUAUCUACUUCUAAGUUUGUUUACUUGCUCUUGUUAUUUAUUUUAUUUUGUGUGUGCAAUUGAAUAUAGGAAUUAUUUUAGUUUUCUUCUAGACAUCUUUUCCAUUGUAGCUGGUAUGGGAUCACUUCAGUUGCAGCGUCUUGUUAGAGUUAGUGUCUUUAGGGAAAGCAGUAAUGAAGACCAUUACCUACUCACCGUGAAUGUGAUCUGCUGCCAGCAUAUGCCAGUACAGUGGCUGUGCUAUAGGAUAAGAAUGGAUGAAUGCAUGAAAGGAUGGAGCUAUAGCUAGCUCUUGCUUGGUGUGAGCUCCUUGUAACCAAGUUCCUUCACAGCCAGGAAAAUAUACGGGGUGUUACCGCCCACUAUGACGUGGACAAAUCUGAUUGGCACUGCCAACAUUCUGGCAGGGGUCCACGGAAUUGCUGCAAUAGUGACCAGACGUUCCCUCCCUCCCACGUCUGCUCGCGAGACUAGCCCAUGUGUUAGACCUUAUUGGUGGAGGGAGGUCAAUAUUGAGCAACCAUACGCUAGCUGAGUUUGCAUGGGCUCAGAGAUUUCACUUUUUUUUCAAUAUCAUAGUAUUUUAAACUACACAGUAUGGUAUAAUUAUUUAUCCAUGCAUGUAUGGACAUGUGGUAGUACUAUCGGAGGUCGGACCUUUCACUAAUUAUGACCUUUCAAUGACAUUCUACCAAAUAGCUUGACAGCUUAUUGUAGCUAAUUACUGAUAAUUGUACUUUCCCAAAGCAUUCCACAUUCAAUAUAGAAAAAGGGGAGGAUCUUUGCUUUGUUUACUGUGAAAGGGGCGGAAUGUGACACCUCUCUGAAAAGGGGGAGGAUCUGAGCAAUGAUUAUGUUUACUGAGAAACAAGGCUGAAAGGGGCGAAAUUUCCAUAAAUUGCUCUUUAUGUGUGGUCCCACUGUGUGCACUGUAGCUAGUGUACAGAGCCUAUAGUGUGGUCCCACUGUGUGCACUGUAGCUAGUGUACAGAGCCUAUAGUGUCGUCCCACUGUGUGCACUGUAGCUAGUGUACAGAGCCUAUAGUGUGGUCCCACUGUGUACACUGUAGCUAGUGUACAGAGCCUAUAGUGUGGUCCCACGUGUGCACUAUAGCUAGUGUACAGAGCUUAUAGUGUGGUCCCACUGUGUGAACUGUAGCUAGUGUACAGAGCCUAUAGUGUGGUCCCACUGUAGCUAGUGUACAGAGCCUAUAGUGUGGUCCCACUGUGUACACUAUAGCUAGUGUACAGAGCUUAUAGUGUGGUCCCACUGUGUGCACUAUAGCUAGUGUACAGAGCCUAUAGUGUGGUCCCACUGUGUGCACUAUAGCUAGUGUACAGAGCUUAUAGUGUGGUCCCACUGUGUGCACAGUAGCUAUACGUGGUGGACUAAUAAGGUUUACAUUUCGAAUGUUGUGAUUACUGAUAAUUGUACUUUCCCUCCCAAAGCUCAAUAUAGAAAAAGUGGAGGAUCUUUGCUUUGUUUACUGUGAAAAGGUGGAAUGUGACACCUCUGACCACCUGGCAAAAUGUCCAUAAAUUGCUUUUUAUAUGUGAUCCCACUGUGUGCACUAUAGCUAGUGUACAGAGCUUAUAGUGUGGUCCCCACUGUGUGCACUGUAGCUAUACGUGGUGGACUAAUAAGGUUUGCAUUUCAAUUGUAGUGAAUGUGGGCUGUCUAGUCAUCAAGUCUGUGGAGUGAGUGGUGGUAUGCACUUAACCAAUUUCAUUGAACCAUGUUAAGUAUAAACACGUUUGUAUAGUGGUACUCAUUCGAAAGCUCUCAAAGAGACGAAUCUAAUAAUACCCAUAUCAUCACACCCUCACACAUCACACACCCGCCCACACACAGGAACUGGGCGUACUAUACUGUUCAAGCUGUGCUUCAUGGAUACUCCAUUUGGUGACAACCCUCUAGCCAUAGUCAGUGCUCAGUACAGCAUUCCUGAGGACUCUCCCUACACACAAAACCUGCACAACUUGAGAGGCAUCAUCUGUUGACCUCUGACCCUGAGCUGUGUCCCAGUAUUUGGCAAGUGUGUGAGGUGGUGUCCAGGAUCACAGGAACCACCAACCAUGUCACUAAUGUCUGUGUAUGAGGGGCUAAACUGGAUGCCUCUCAAAGAGCUCGAGGAUUUCAAGAGCUGCUCACUACUGAUGUAGUUACUAGACUAGUCAUCAAACACGUUACCUAGGUCACCACCAUUAAUGUGCUAUUGUGUAUAAUGUACCUUAAGGUGACAUAAUUCUUUUCACAGGUAGAUUUGUUUGCGUUUUUACAGUUUUGUACAUUUUGCUGGUACUGCAUGAUUAAACAAGAGGGCGGCCAAUUCAACACCCACUCAA